UGAAACACCUGUACUGCGUUUGUGACACUCACUUUCAUGCCUAACCAUUCACCGUGCUAGCCUUUGUUGUGAUGCUUCUACCUCUGACUCAUCGAGCCAAUGAGCCAGUUAAUGCUGACUGGAAGAAGUGGUUUUCCUUCAUCACUCUGCCAGUCAAUAGAAGAUAAGGGUUCAUUUCCUCUGCUCCAUUUCCCCAAAGCUGUGAGCCGGCCAGUGAGAGGUCCAGAGCUGUGAGGGGCAGAUCUCUGUAGCCAAAGCUCACCAGCUGGACCGGAGGAGCCAGGAGCCGGUUCUCAUCCUCCACCGGCUGGGAGAUGAUCUCCAAGUCUGACAGACCUUCCUGAUCCACUUCUCUAGUUAUAUGCCAAACCCAGCAACAGAUGGGCCGAACAUGUACAAACAGGCAGACAUAAGAGAGAAAAAGAUUUAGAAAAUGAAGAUUUAUUUUAGAAACGAGUACAAAAAUAUCAAAUCAGUAACGUCAGCUUGGACCCAACAGAUGGGGAAAUUCAAAUUAAAAUGUGGCUGAUUUUAAAAAUAAAAUUGCAAACUUAA